GACGAACGCUGGCGGCGUGCUUAACACAUGCAAGUCGAACGGAAAGGCCCUGCUUUUGUGGGGUGCUCGAGUGGCGAACGGGUGAGUAACACGUGAGUAACCUGCCCUUGACUUUGGGAUAACUUCAGGAAACUGGGGCUAAUACCGGAUAGGAGCUCCUGCUGCAUGGGGGGGGUUGGAAAGUUUCGGCGGUGGGGGAUGGACUCGCGGCUUAUCAGCUUGUUGGUGGGGUAGUGGCUUACCAAGGCUUUGACGGGUAGCCGGCCUGAGAGGGUGACCGGCCACAUUGGGACUGAGAUACGGCCCAGACUCCUACGGGAGGCAGCAGUGGGGAAUAUUGCACAAUGGGCGGAAGCCUGAUGCAGCAACGCCGCGUGCGGGAUAACGGCCUUCGGGUUGUAAACCGCUUUCGCCUGUGACGAAGCGUGAGUGACGGUAAUGGGUAAAGAAGCACCGGCUAACUACGUG
rnacentral:rRNA from 1 species